AUGCAACGAUGACUCGUUAUUGCUGCUUUUGAUUAUAUUGGGCUCUGAAAUAGAAAAUACCUGUGUGUGAGGCAAUUUACCCUAAAAUCCCUUCAUUUCCCAGAAGUCUUUGAACUACUACAGGACGUGAUUAAUAACUGAAACAGCUGGAGGACACUCAGGAGUUUGAAGCCAAGUGUGUGUGAGUCUGCCAGACGAAACCACGAUCCAGCUGUAAUAUGCUGCGAUGUGUCAGCCCGAGCUUUGGCUGCGGUGCUCACAGCUGCACCGACUGGACACACCACUCAUCGACAGCGUGGACUGCGAGGGCAGGACACAGUCAUGUUGAAAUGAAAUGUGUGUUCUUUCUGUGGGCUACUGUUGAUCCUCUCUGCGCCACAUGUCAUGGUCGAAUUCAGCAGGCGGAGUUUGAUGCAGGACUACAGAGAAGACAGCGUCUAUGAUCUCAACCCCAUAUCCACCUGUUAUGACCAGCUAAAACAGCUCCAUGACAACAGAGCAAACUCCAGUCGCUGAUGACGGCUAUGGGAUAUGGCUAAAAGCUCUGGGGAAAAAAAAACAAGAAAGUGAAACUUGUAAUCAGAAUUUAUUUUAUAAUAUUCUUAUAUGUUCAUAUUCUGUUAAAGAACUUGCUUCUGGUGGUUUGUUAAGUGUGAAAAAUUACAGUGUCUUUGCAACAUUCCUAUCCUACACUGGAUAACCUUACAGUUUUCCUUGUUACUGUUUUUAGUCCCGAUGCUCACAACAAGGUUUAUGGAUUAUCGACUGUAACAGGAACGUUGCUCAAAUGCAAUAUUUCAAAUGCUUUUAGCACCAAAAUCAAGACACUGGAGUUUAAAACAUCUGCAGAUAAACAAAGAAAUAUCUUUGUGGCUUGAAAUGUGGGUGAACUGAGCCUUUGAUCCACCUUUUAAAGGUAUCAGCAACGGCUGCAGCUCUUUGGGGAGGAAGUUGCAGAAACUGCUGGCCACAAAAAAUUUGACAAAACCUGAGAGUCUUUUAUUAAAGCCAGCAGACCUCAGUUUAAGCCAGUCCUUUGUUGAAGAGAAAAAAAAUGUAAACAGAGCAAAAACAAAUAGAGUGUAACAACUAUUCACUGGAAUCUUCUCCAGGCUAAAAGGCUUGACGUCACCUUACUACAACACUAAACCUUUUGCUGCUGUGUUUAUAUCAGUGUGAACUUUGGACGCAGGCUUCACGUACAUGUAAUUUAAUUACCUCAGCAGGAAGAGGCAAUCAGUGCUGUG